GAUGAACGCUGGCGGCGUGCCUAAUACAUGCAAGUCGAGCGAACGGACGAGAAGCUUGCUUCUCUGAUGUUAGCGGCGGACGGGUGAGUAACACGUGGAUAACCUACCUAUAAGACUGGGAUAACUUCGGGAAACCGGAGCUAAUACCGGAUAAUAUUUUGAACCGCAUGGUUCAAAAGUGAAAGACGGUCUUGCUGUCACUUAUAGAUGGAUCCGCGCUGCAUUAGCUAGUGGGUAAGGUAACGGCUUACCAACGCAACGAUGCAUAGCCGACCUGAGGGGGUGAUCGGCCACACUGGAACUGAGACACGGUCCAGACUCCUACGGGAGGCAGCAGUAGGGAAUCUUCCGCAAUGGGCGAAAGCCUGACGGAGCAACGCCGCGUGAGUGAUGAAGGUCUUCGGAUCGUAAAACUCUGUUAUUAGGGAAGAACAUAUGUGUAAGUAACUGUGCACAUCUUGACGGUACCUAAUCAGAAAGCCACGGCUAACUACGUG
rnacentral:rRNA from 1 species